ACCGGUGCUAAUACCGAAUAUUGAAACAUAAGUGGCAUCACUGAGUUUUGAAAGAAUUUCGGUGGGGGAUGACUUCGCGGCCUAUCAGCUAGUUGGUGAGGUAAUGGCUCACCAAGGCAACGACGGGUAGCCGGCCUGAGAGGGCGACCGGCCACACUGGGACUGAGACACGGCCCAGACUCCUACGGGAGGCACCAGUGGGGAAUAUUGGGCAAUGGAGGAAACUCUGACCCAGCGACGCCGCGUGCGGGA
rnacentral:rRNA from 1 species